GAAUUCUUUAGUUGCAAGCAUACUCAAUCAAGUCACAUUCUAUACAUCAAACUGUCGCUAAGUUUAACUUUCACUGCGCAUAUAUACAACUUAGCAUAAUUAAUCAAAAAGUGCUAGAAGUAGCUUAAAAGUUUUAAAAGACCCAAUUCACCCCCCCUCUUAGGUUGUAUCUACUGGGCAACACCCUUUAGAUGAUGCCCUUUCAUGAGAGGAUGUGUGGAUGGGAUGCAUCCCUUGGAGAUGCAUCCCUACACCUAUUAUAAAUAGGUUAGCACUCCAUGGGUUUCAUCAUUCCAGUUCCACCCCACUCCUCUCUUCUUUCUUUCUUACAUUAGUUUCUUUCUUUCUAGCAUUGCUUCUAGUGUGUCCUAAGCCAAGACAAGGUGGUCUUCUUUAGGACAAAAGGAUUAGAAGUGAUUUUAGAAGGCUAAAGAAAA
rnacentral:lncRNA from 1 species